CGUAGCAAGGCAAUAUAUUGCUUUAAAGGUCCUAAAAUGUUCAACAUACGACGAAUGUGCUAUCUUUUCGGCACUAUACGUCCAAAAAGUAUUUUAGACAAGACGAAUUGUAUUAAUAUAAAAGACAGAAGGUAUUAUCACUGCGAUGAGCCAACAAAGCCUUUCGACAAUUUACCUUUUAGAGUCCGUAGCAGGUAUACACUGACCUUGGUAUGUUCACUAUUAUUUGGUGUAGGGCUAUGGGCACCAUUUCUUAUAGUGUGGUAUUCAAUGGCUAAAAGAACUAUGUAAAAUCUUUUUUGGAAAAUAUACAUUGUAUACAUCAAAAUUAAAAACAUUAAAUGAUA